AUUUGCUGUACAGGAGAUAUCUCAAGAGAUGUUACAAUUCAUGCAAAACUUGCGUAAGGUUGUGGCUGUAGGAGUUGUAGGUGGCUCAGACCUAGUAAAAAUAACUGAACAGCUCGGCAAAAGUGUUAUUACAGAAUAUGAUUAUGUCUUCUCAGAAAACGGUCUUGUUGCUUACAAAGAUGGCAAAUUGAUUGGUAAUCAG